rnacentral:lncRNA from 1 species
CUUCAGUGUUUAUUGCUUUCCAAACUGUGUGUGAUCCUCGAUGUUUCAGAAGGCUUCCAGGAUUAGCAGGGUUUCCUGAUUUGGAAGAAUUGCUGUUUCUUCCAUAAAUGUGAAUCUUCAAAUUUCCAGGUUAGUCAUUUGAUCACCCAGAACUUGGAUCAGGUUACUCCAGCAGGAAACUGGAAAAAUCCCUGACUUGGUCAAACCGUAGGUUUCUCCUCUCCUUUGCAGCUCCUCCUCAACUCUCUCAUUUUUUUUUAAAACCAGGAAGACGCUAACAUUAAACCAGUUGGGGAAGACAUCUUGCUAUGGAAUUCUAGGGAUUUCAUGAUAAUACCUUACUUUUGAUGAUACACAUUCU